rnacentral:rRNA from 1 species
CAUUAAGUUACUAAGGGCGCAUGACGGAUGCCUUGGCUCUCAGAGGCGAUGAAGGACGUGACUAGCUGCGAUAAGCUAUGGGGAGCUGCUAAUAAGCUUUGAUCCGUAGAUUUCCGAAUGGGGAAACCCACCUAAUUUAUUAGGUCUAAGGCGAACCUGCUGAACUGAAACAUCUAAGUAGGCAGAGGAAAAGAAAAUAACAUAUGAUUCCCCAAGUAGUGGCGAGCGAACGGGGAAGAGCCCAAACCAGCCAUGUUUCGGCAUGACUGGGGUUGUAGGACUGCAACGUGAAUAAUAAAAACAAAGUAGAAGCUAUUGGAAAGUAGCACCAUAGAGAGUGAUAGUCUCGUAUACGUAAAGUUUUAUUUUCUAGCAGUAUCCUGAGUACCGCGGGGUCGGAGACGCCCUGUGGGAAUCCACCAGCACCAUCUGGUAAGGCUAAAUACUACUGAGAGACCGAUAGCGAACUAGUACUGUGAAGGAAAGGUGAAAAGAAUCUCGAACAGAGAAGUAAAAAGAACCUGAAAUCAUGCGCUUACAAGCGGUAGGAGUCCUUCGGGAUGACUGCGUGCCUUUUGCAUAAUGAGCCUACGAGUUACUCCUCUCUGGCAAGGUUAAGGAUUUAAGGUCCGUAGCCGAAGCGAAAGCGAGUCUGAACAGGGCGUUCAGUCAGAGGGGGUAGACGCGAAACCUAAGUGAUCUACUCAUGGCCAGGAUGAAGUGUCGGUAACACGACAUGGAGGUCCGAACUGGUAAGCGUUGAAAAGCUUUCAGAUGAGCUGUGAGUAGGGGUGAAAGGCUAAUCAAACUGGGAGAUAGCUCGUACUCCCCGAAAUGUUUUUUGGAACAGCCUCGGUUUAAAGUGUCGCAGAGGUAGAGCUACUAAUUGGGUAAGGGGGUGUCAAAACCUACCGAACUCAGAUAAACUCCGAAUGCUGCAGACAUGUUCACCGGGAGUGAGCCCUUGGGUGCUAAGGUCCGAGGGCGAGAGGGAAAGAACCCAGACCAUCAGCUAAGGUCUCCAAAUCUAUACUAAGUUGAACUAACGUGGUCCAAUCGCUAAGACAGCUAGGAUGUUUGCUUGGAAGCAGCCAUUCAUUUAAAGAGUGCGUAACAGCUCACUAGUCGAGCGAUCGGGCGUGGAUAAUAAACGGGCAUUAAGUAUAGUACCGAAGCUAUGGACUCGAAAGAGUGGUAGGGGAGCAUUCCAGCCGCGUUGAAGCCAUGUCGUCAGACGUGGUGGAGCAUCUGGAAAAGCCAAUGUAGGCAUAAGUAACGAUAAUGCAGGCGAGAAACCUGCACUCCGAAAGGCUAAGGUUUCCUGAUCAACGUUAAUCGGAUCAGGGUUAGUCGGGACCUAAGGCGAAGCCGAUAGGCAUAGUCGAUGGACAACAGGUUAAUAUUCCUGUACCAGUUAAGGAGGACGGAGAGAUGUGGUAGCUACGUGCGGACGGAAGUGCACGUUGAGCCUAGUCUUCGGACAAAGCGAAGCUAUAAAGUCUCUUCCUAGAAAAGCCCUUAACAUUAAGCCCGUACCGCAAACCGACACAGGCAGCCGGGAUGAAGAUUCUAAGGAGCUCGAGUGAUUCACGGUUAAGGAACUCGGCAAAUUAACCCUGUAACUUCGGGAAAAGGGGUGCCCCAGAAAUGGGGCCGCAGUGAAAUGGCUCAGGCGACUGUUUAACAAAAACACAUGGCUAUGCUAAAUCGAAAGAUGAUGUAUAUGGCCUGACACCUGCCCGGUGCUGGAAGGUUAAGAGGGGAUGUUAGCGCAAGCGAAGCAUUGAAUCGAAGCCCCAGUAAACGGCGGCCGUAACUAUAACGGUCCUAAGGUAGCGAAAUUCCUUGUCGGGUAAGUUCCGACCUGCACGAAUGGUGUAACGAUCUGAGCACUGUCUCAACCGUGAGCUCGGUGAAAUUGUGGUCUCGGUGAAGACGCCGGGUACUCGCAUCGGGACGGAAAGACCCCGUGCACCUUUACUAUAGCUUUACAUUGAGUUUGGGUAAAUAAUGUGUAGGAUAGGUGGGAGACUUUGAAGCAGUGUCGCUAGGCAUUGUGGAGUCAACCUUGAAAUACCACCCUUUAUUUACUUGGAUUCUAACCCUUUAUAAGGGAACAGUGUAUGGUGGGUAGUUUGACUGGGGUGGUCGCCUCCAAAAAAGUAUCGGAGGCUUCCAAAGGUCUGCUCAGCACGCUUGGUAACCGUGCGUAGAGUGCAAUAGCAUAAGCAGGCUUAACUGUAAGGCUAACAAGCCGAGCAGAGACGAAAGUCGGGUAUAGUGAUCCGGUGGUUCUGUAUGGAAGGGCCAUCGCUCAUAGGAUAAAAGGUACGCCGGGGAUAACAGGCUGAUCUCCCCCAAGAGCUCACAUCGACGGGGAGGUUUGGCACCUCGAUGUCGGCUCGUCACAUCCUGGGGCUGGAGAAGGUCCCAAGGGUUCGGCUGUUCGCCGAUUAAAGUGGCACGCGAGCUGGGUUCAGAACGUCGUGAGACAGUUCGGUCCCUAUCUGAUGUGAUCGUUGGAAGUUUGAGAGGAUCUGACCUUAGUACGAGAGGACCGGGUCGGACGUACCUCUGGUGUAUCUGUUGUGGCGCCAGCUGCAUUGCAGAGUAGCUAUGUACGGACAAGAUAAGCGCUGAAAGCAUCUAAGCGCGAAACUUACCUCGAGAUGAGACUUCUUUAUAAGGGUCGUAGAAGAUGACUACGUUGAUAGGCUGUAGAUGUAAAGAUGGUAACAUCAAAGUCAAGCAGUACUAAUUACCCGUAGACUUAAAAUA